AUCUGUAUUCUGAAUCAACCUAAGCAGGAAAACCCAAAGGAAACUUAUUUGGCAUCUUUUCAAGGAAAUGUAUAAAUAUUCUUCUAUCGUGUGUUCCUUGUCAGGCUGCAAAGUUGUCAUGUAGCUCUGCACAGAACAAGGCCAGAACUAGGAGUUUUCCAAUAGCUGUGUAUAUUAGGCUUUCACUGCAGAAUCUGUUGCCAGUACGCAAUAACUGCUAAUGGAUGGCUGUGUUCUUGAGACCUGUUAUCCGCUAGAUCCAUUAAUUAGUGCUGUAAUACUUCCACAAGCUGUGAAUAGCCCCCUGGGCUUAGGGUAGCUCUCUUGAAGAGGCUCUGUCCUAUGUUACACUCUUAGAGAAAUAACUGUAGAUUCCAGAGCCUUAUGUUAUAUGUCUGACCUUAUUGCUUAAUAGAAUUAUAACCUUCAUGCAAUACAAACCAUGUCUGAGUAUCUCAUAAUUGCAGAGUAGAAGUUUUAGCCGACACACUUUGGCAGUACGUGCUUCCUGUGCAUUAUGAUUCCACCUUUAGGUAGCGCAGAUAUCUGGUGUAAUUGUGCCUGUGUGUCUUGGUUGGUUUUAGUUUUUCUAACUGUGGCAGUGUUUCUUGGUUGAAAUUAGUA